CCAGCAGCCGCGGUAAUACGAAGGGGGCUAGCGUUGCUCGGAAUGACUGGGCGUAAAGGGCGCGUAGGCGGAUUGCACAGUCAGGCGUGAAAUUCCUGGGCUUAACCUGGGGACUGCGUUUGAGACUUGUGAUCUUGAGUGAGGAAGAGGGUCGUGGAAUUUCCAGUGUAGAGGUGAAAUUUGUAGAUAUUGGAAAGAACACCGGUGGCGAAGGCGGCGACCUGGUCCAUUACUGACGCUGAGGCGCGAAAGCGUGGGGAGCAAACAGGAUUAGAUACCCUGGUAGUCCACGCUGUAAACGAUGUGUGCUUGAUGUUGGGGUGCUUAGCACUUCAGUGUCGGAGCUAACGCGGUAAGCACACCGCC
rnacentral:rRNA from 1 species